rnacentral:misc_RNA from 1 species
CAGAGUUAUCUAACUCCCAAACCCAUGUGAACUUACCAUUGUUGCCUCGGCAGAACCUACCCGGUACCUACCCUGUAACGACCUACCCUGUAGCGAGUUGCCCGGGAAGACCUACCCUGUAGUGCGCUGCCGGUGGACUUCUUAACUCUUGUUAUUUUAUAGUAAUCUGAGCGUCUUAUUUUAAUAAGUCA